rnacentral:snRNA from 2 species
GUAGCUUAUAUACGCUGCUGUGCAUAAAAUUGAUACGAUACGGAGAAGAUUAGCAUGGCCCCUGCGCAAGGAAGACACACAAAUCGAGAAGUGGUCCAAAUUUUU